AACGAACGCUGGCGGCAUGCCUAACACAUGCAAGUCGAGCGCCUGUAGCAAUACAGGAGCGGCGCACGGGUGAGUAACGCGUGGGAACCUACCCUUAGGUUCGGAACAACCGCGGGAAACUGCGGCUGAUACCGGAUGAUGUCUUCGGACCAAAGAUUUAUCGCCUUUGGAGGGGCCCGCGUCGGAUUAGGUAGUUGGUGAGGUAACGGCUCACCAAGCCUACGAUCCGUAGCUGGCUGAGAGGAUGACCAGCCACACUGGGACUGAGACACGGCCCAGACUCCUACGGGAGGCAGCAGUGGGGAGUAUUGGACAAUGGGGGCAACCCUGAUCCAGCAAUGCCGCGUGGGUGAUGAAGGCCUU
rnacentral:rRNA from 1 species